rnacentral:rRNA from 2 species
GUUCAUAGUUCGGAUUGAGGGCUGUAACUCGCCCUCAUGAAGCUGGAUUCCGUAGUAAUCGUGUUUCAAUAUAGCACGGUGAAUAUGCCCCUGCUCCUUGCACACACCGCCCGUCAAACCAUCUUAGUUGGGGGUGGGUGAGGCUGCGCUUUAUGGCGUAUUCGAGCCUGCCUUCGACAAGGAGGGUUAAGUCGUAACAAGGUAUCUGUAGGGGAACCUGCAGAUGGAUCACCUCCUAAGAAA